rnacentral:rRNA from 1 species
AUGAACGCUAGCGACAGGCUUAACACAUGCAAGUCGAGGGGCAGCACAGGUAGCAAUACCGGGUGGCGACCGGCGCACGGGUGAGUAACGCGUAUGCAACUUACCUAUCAGAGGGGGAUAACCCGGCGAAAGUCGGACUAAUACCGCAUGAAGCAGGGGCCCGCAUGGGGAUGCGUUCCAUUAGAUAGUAGGCGGGGUAACGGCCCACCUAGUCUUCGAUGGAUAGGGGUUCUGAGAGGAAGGUCCCCACAUUGGAACUGAGACACGGUCCAAACUCC